rnacentral:rRNA from 1 species
UCACACAAGAGACCCAAAUUAAUUGUUCGCGGCGUAAAGAGUGGACCCAUGCUUAUCACAUUAAUUAGGGUUAAAACAUGGCUGAGCUGUCAUAAGCCUAAGGCAUGCCCAAAACAUCCUAAAGACGGCCCUAAUCUACACGAUCAACUAAACUCCACGAAAGCCAGGACACAAACUGGGAUUAGAUACCCCACUAUGCCUGGCCCUAAAUCUUGAUGCUUACAUAACUAAAGCAUCCGCCCGAGGACUACGAGCACAAACGCUUAAAACUCUAAGGACUUGGCGGUGCCCCAAACCCACCUAGAGGAGCCUGUUCUGUAAUCGAUAACCCACGAUACACCCGACCACUUCUUGCCAAAAUACAGCCUACAUACCGCCGUCGCCAGCUCACCUUUCCUGAGAGCGCCACAGUGAGCACAAUUGCCCUAACCCCGCCAGCAAGACAGGUCAAGGUAUAGCCUAUGAAGUGGAAGAAAUGGGCUACAUUUUCUAGCCUAGAAAACUUACGAAAGGGGGCAUGAAACAGCCCCUCGAAGGCGGAUUUAGCAGUAAAGCGGGAUAACAUAAGCCCACUUUAAGUCGGCCCUGAGGCACGUACAUACCGCCCGUCACCCUCCUCACAAGCCCUAAGCCAUUGAUAACUAAUACAACCACUCGCUAAAGAUGAGGUAAGUCGUAACAAGGUAAGUGUACCGG